rnacentral:misc_RNA from 1 species
UUUCCGUAGGUGAACCUGCGGAAGGAUCAUUCAUAAUAAAGUGUUUUAUGGCACUUUUUAAAAAUCCAUAUCCACCUUGUGUGCAAUGUUAGAUCUCGUCAAUCUUGGCGAGAUUUUUAUACAUCAACUCAUUCUUUAACUAAUUUGUCUGAAAAGUAUUAUGAAUACUUAAUUCAAAAUACAACUUUCAACAACGGAUCUCUUGGCUCUC